GACCUGCAGGCCAGGCCCGGCCUAAGAGCGCCGGACCGGGACCGCGCUGCGCUCCCGGUGCAGGCCGCAGGGGGCAGUCCGGGCCUGGCGCCUCUCCUCCGUGCGCAGGCGCCACUGCGAGCCCGCCGCCGAGGGCUGCCCGCCCGGGGACGGGGGCUCCAUGCACUGCCAGGUGUCGGUGCUGUAUUUCGCCCGGAGCGCGGAGCUGGCGGGGCUGCGCAGCGAGACGCUGUCGGUGCCGCGGCGGAUCACGGCGCGGCAGCUCUGGGACGAGAUCGUCAGGGUGCACCCCAGGCUUGCUGUCAUCCGGGAUCAAGUGGUUUUUGCUGUUCAGCAGGAAUACGUGCUUCUUGGAGAUCAGCUCCUGGUUCUGCAGCCUGGAGACGAGGUUGCCAUCAUCCCACCAAUUAGUGGAGGCUGAAUCUGCCCAGGUUCUGUUAGGUACUACAAGAAAUAAUUUUGAAGGGAAGAAAGUGAUUCACUUAGAAUAUGAAGCAUAUAUUUCAAUGGCAGAGACCGAAAUAAAGAAAAUCUGCAGAAAUAUUAGACAGAAAUGGCCAUCAGUCAAACAUAUUGCAGUGCACCAUAGACUUGGUGUCGUUCCAAUAACUGAAGCAAGUGUAAUUAUUGCAGUCUCCUCUCCACACAGAGCAGAAUCCCUUGAAGCUGUAAUGUACUGCAUCAACACCUUAAAAGCAUCUGUCCCCAUAUGGAAAAAGGAGAUUUAUGAGGACGAAUAUUCUUGGAAAGAAAACAAGGAAUGCUUUUGGGCAAGUUCAGAAAAAUAACUGUAGCCUUUUAAAAAUAAAGUGUUACUGUUCCUAAUAAGCAUAUGCUGGUUUAGCUUUGAGUUGUUUUUACAGAGAAUCUAUUAUAUAUGUUUUAAGCAGUUGUAAUAGACACUUCAAUCUUAAUUUAAUUAGGAGUGGAUGAAAUGAAUGAGUAAUAAUUAGGGGUUUGAAGUGUUCUUGAUUCUCUUUUGAAAUCUCUUUGUGCAUUUUAACACAGAUCACGUUUUUUAAAAGAAUCUCCCCUAAAAUUCCUGGUUGCAAAGUGAUUAGUCCUCUGUGAUCUAUACUGCUUUAAUGCCUUUGCUUUGGUAGUCUGUGUUCACUGUCUGUAUGAGGGGUCACAACAGGACAACUUUUUUUAAUCUUAAAAGAAAUCCUGAGUAGUUUAAUUUUAUAUUACCGUAGAAUCGGUUUGCAAGCUUUAUGCUAUUUUGACAUUCUUGUAACAUGAAAGCUACUUGAAGCAGAUUACACAUUUUGGUACAGAGAAGAAAAUAUAAACUAUACCCCAGAGUUAUUAACUUUUUAGUAGUGGUUAUGUUCCAGUAGCUCUGUCUCACAGAAACAUUUUUACUGUGCAGAUGAUACUGCAGGUCCAUUGCAUUAAAAAAAUAUGGAGAGACCUUGAUUCAAAGUUAGAUCUAAUACUGUACCAGCAGCAAACUUGCAUUAGCAAUAACAUGCAAACCUGUAACUACUUGAUGAUGUCUAGACAUUUAAUUUUGAAGGAGCUUUUUUUGGCUAUGUAAUUGUAUGGUGCUGCAGAAAGAAAAAAAGAGCUAUUAUUACAAAUAGGCAACUAUAAGUUAAAUCAGUUUUAGUAGUUUGACUUUAGACAUAUUAGGAUUCAAACUCAUCAAAAUGGAUUAUUUUUUCAAAUUAAAGUGAGUCUCUUGAACUUCUUGCAGCUUUUGUAUGCAGUUAUAAUCACAUUUGUGAUUUUGAUGCAGUUUUUCUCUUAUUACUGUUUCAAAACUUAGUUAAAAGAGAAGACUGGCAUAAUAUACCUGUGAGUCCACUGGAAACAAUGGGCUGCUCAUUUGAGUAAGAUAUUUUUAUUUAUAUUAUUGUACUAUGCCAUGAAGUGUUUAGAGGCUGAGUUCAAAGUCCUGUUGUGUAUGGCAUUUUUACUAAGGCUGAGGGGCAGUUUUAUCUAGUCAUCAUCAUCACUGUAGACAAGAUAGAUAUAAAGGAAAGGAAAUGACAUAAAAUUAUUUGCUAAAGUUUAUAUAUAAUUACACAACACUUAAGCCUCAGCUGUAUAAUCAGUUUCAUUGUGUCUGCAGUAAAAAUCUACAAACAGCUGCUAGCUGUACAAAAUAAAAGGAGAAAAAUAGGUGGUGAUCUUUUUCCCCCAAAGUCAUCCCACUGUUUUAAUACUUAGUGAUGGUUACUGUAUUUGGAUUAAGUAAACUCCAAUGAAACAUACAGCUUCAGGCAGAAGCAUAGUUGAAUUGUGCUUAUUAACUUACUGAUGCACUUUCCUCAAUGGAAGCAAGCAAGUCCUUCCUCUGCAGGACAGCACUGCCCCUUGUGUGUACAUACACAGCCUCAAGCCAUGGGGGCCUUAUUAUCUAGGCAGAGCUGAGUAAGUUCAAGGUUGAAUUGUCCUUUGCUUUGGAGGUUGGAGAGAAGCCUUCUGGUAUUUGAAUGUCAUUUUUAGCAGGAAUUGUGCAUAAUCCUGCGUACAGAUUUCUUCCUCUGUCAAAUAAUUAUUUUUGCUUUUCAAAAAUAAAGAAAUACACAAAUUUCCCA